UACAGAGGGUGCGAGCGUUGUUCGGAAUUACUGGGCGUAAAGGGCGCGUAGGCGGCACGGCAAGUCGGGAGUGAAAGCCCGGGGCUCAACCCCGGAGGGUCUCUCGAAACUGCCGAGCUAGAGUGCGGAAGAGGCAAUCGGAAUUCCCAGUGUAGCGGUGAAAUGCGUAGAUAUUGGGAAGAACACCGGAGGCGAAAGCAGCUCUCUGGGACGGUACUGACGCUGAGGCGCGAAAGCGUGGGGAGCGAACAGG
rnacentral:rRNA from 1 species